rnacentral:rRNA from 1 species
CCUACGGGAGGCAGCAGUGGGGAAUAUUGGACAAUGGGCGAAAGCCUGAUCCAGCAAUGCCGCGUGAGUGAUGAAGGCCUUAGGGUUGUAAAGCUCUUUUACCAGGGAUGAUAAUGACAGUACCUGGAGAAUAAGCUCCGGCUAACUCCGUGCCAGCAGCCGCGGUAAUACGGAGGGAGCUAGCGUUGUUCGGAAUUACUGGGCGUAAAGCGUACGUAGGCGGUUAUUCAAGUCAGAGGUGAAAGCCUGGAGCUCAACUCCAGAACUGCCUUUGAAACUAGAUAGCUAGAAUCUUGGAGAGGUGAGUGGAAUUCCGAGUGUAGAGGUGAAAUUCGUAGAUAUUCGGAAGAACACCAGUGGCGAAGGCGACUCACUGGACAAGUAUUGACGCUGAGGUACGAAAGCGUGGGGAGCAAACAGGAUUAGAUACCCUGGUAGUCCACGCCGUAAACGAUGAUAACUAGCUGUUCGGGCUCUACGAGCUUGAGUGGCGCAGCUACGACAUUAAGUUAGUUCCGUCCGUCGGGGAGGUACGGGUCGGCGAAGAAGUUAAAACGUUUAAAAUUAAGUUAAGUUAGUACGGUUCGUUGUAGACGUUGCCGACGGACGACGACGAGGGAGGAGG